UGUACAUCACAGUCAAAUGCUCAAUAGCCUAUGGUGGCUGUUCAUACAUCUGGUUGUUAAAGCAUGUACCAUGAUUUCAC
rnacentral:pre_miRNA from 9 species